rnacentral:tRNA from 1 species
UGAGCCAUUAGCUCAGCUGGUAGAGCAUCUGACUUUUAAUCAGUAGGUUGGGGGUUCAAGUCCUCUGGCCGGC